GGGUGUUUAAGGUGGGAAGAAGACAGGAGAAAUAACAGACCUCCCCUCCUCACGCAAAAUUUGCAUGCCAGCUUCCCUUUGGGAGACCCUGCCAGCUCCAUGAAUCCAGGGACCUUUCCUUCAUUCCCCACAGGACGCCCGGCACAGAUUUGGCACAGGGCAGGUGCCCAAUAAGCAAAGGGGCCACUUCAUUCUUGCCACACAAGCAGCCCGAGGACACGCUCCACGGGGUCAUAAGCACCUUAGAUGAGGAGCCCGGGAAAAAACGGGGCACGAUAAGGCACGGAGGCUGGAGAAGAACAGAGGGCGCAGAGUGGAGGGCCUCGGCCGGCUGACAAAGGAGCCGCUCGGAUGCAGACUCCAAGGAAUUACCGCCGAUAAGAGCACAGGCGGGGGAGCACGCGGUGCAAGGGCGAGAGCAAACAAGAUCCUCAAUCAGCACUUGUCCUAUUUCAUAAGCAAAAUGUAGAUCAAUAAAUUACACUCACUUGUGCAGGUUUUA